rnacentral:rRNA from 1 species
GACGAACGCUGGCGGCGUGCCUAAUACAUGCAAGUCGAACGAACCGCGACUAGGUUCUUGCACUUGGUCAAGGUGAGUGGCGAACGGGUGAGUAACACGUGGGUAACCUACCUCAUAGUGGGGGAUAACAGUCGGAAACGACUGCUAAUACCGCAUAGGACAUAGGAUCACAUGAUCCAGUGAGGAAAGGUGGCGCAAGCUAUCGCUAAGAGAUGGACCCGCGGUGCAUUAGCUAGUUGGUAGGGUAAAGGCCUACCAAGGCGAUGAUGCAUAGCCGACCUGAGAGGGUGAUCGGCCACAUUGGGACUGAGACACGGCCCAAACUCCUACGGGAGGCAGCAGUAGGGAAUCUUCCGCAAUGGACGCAAGUCUGACGGAGCAACGCCGCGUGAGUGAAGAAGGUCUUCGGAUCGUAAAGCUCUGUUGUUAGAGAAGAACAGCGCAUAGAGUAACUGUUAUGCGUGUGACGGUAUCUAACCAGAAAGCCACGGCUAACUACGUG